AGAACCUGAAACCGUGUACGUACAAGCAGUAGGAGCACCUUCGUGGUGUGACUGCGUACCUUUUGUAUAAUGGGUCAGCGACUUAUAUUCAGUGGCAAGGUUAACCGUAUAGGGGAGCCGUAGCGAAAGCGAGUCUUAACUGGGCGCUCAGUCUCUGGAUAUAGACCCGAAACCGGGUGAUCUAGCCAUGGGCAGGUUGAAGGUUGAGUAACAUCAACUGGAGGACCGAACCGACUAAUGUUGAAAAAUUAGCGGAUGACUUGUGGCUAGGGGUGAAAGGCCAAUCAAACUCGGAGAUAGCUGGUUCUCCCCGAAAGCUAUUUAGGUAGCGCCUCGGACGAAUACUACUGGGGGUAGAGCACUGUUAAGGCUAGGGGGUCAUCCCGACUUACCAACCCUUUGCAAACUCCGAAUACCAGUAAGUACUAUCCGGGAGACACACGGCGGGUGCUAACGUCCGUCGUGGAGAGG
rnacentral:rRNA from 1 species